rnacentral:rRNA from 1 species
GAUGAACGCUGGCGGCGUGCAUAACACAUUCAAGUCGAACGGAGCUAUUUGAAUUAAUCCUUCGGGAAGCGUAAGGGUAGCUUAGUGGCGGACGGGUGAGUAACGCGUGAGGAACCUGCCUCGGAGUGGGGAAUAACAGUUGGAAACAGCUGCUAAUACCGCAUGAUGCAUACGGAUCGCAUGGUCUGUAUGCAAAAGAUUUAUUGUGCUAAGAUGGGCUCGCGUCCCAUUAGAUAGUUGGUGAGGUAACGGCCCACCAAGUCGACGAUGGGUAGCCGAACUGAGAGGUUGAACGGCCACAUUGGAACUGAGAUACGGUCCAGACUCCUACGGGAGGCAGCAGUGGGGAAUAUUGGGCAAUGGGCGAAAGCCUGACCCAGCGACGCCGCGUGAGGGAAGAAGGUCUUCGGAUUGUAAACCUUUGUUGAUAGGGACGAACAGAUGACGGUACCUAUCGAGGAAGCCACGGCUAACUACGUGCCAGCAGCCGCGGU